rnacentral:lncRNA from 1 species
UGACAGGAAACUGAAAUCUGAUGUGUGGAUAUCACUUCAAACAUUUGCCAUUGAAACACACAGGGGCUUGCGAUUAAUUUAGCACUUCCUAUGGCUUCCACUAGAUGUCCCCAGUCUUUACAAAGUGGUUUGAGCCUCCUACCAUCAAAAUUGACUGAAAGAGAGGAUGUUUACCUUGGUCACAGGGGAUGGGCCAUUACCAUUGUGACGUCGGCGCCCAUGGGUACUCUCCCUUUUCGAAACAUUUUGAAAGACAAUGCAACCGUCCCAAUGGAAUAUUAUUGAAGCCCUGGUUGAAAAAGCCCCUAAAGAUUUAUGUUAUACAACGUUUGACAUGUUUGAACGAACUUAAAUAUAUUUUUUUGCUCAUUCCUGACGACAAGUCAGACGCACAUGGUACAUUUUCACUAGCCUUCGGAGCGCGCGAACACUAUUGGGACAUAAAUUAUUAACUUUUUUGAACAAAACUACAUUUGUUAUGGACCUGGGAUUUCUAGAAGUGCCUUCUGAUAAAGAUAAUCAAAGGAGCUUCUGGACAUCAGAACUGGGAUUAGUCACCUCAAAUUGGACGAGGAGUUCUUCUUCAAUGAGUCAGACGCGAGGGAUAAAUUACUGACACCCGACCAGGCCCAGAUCCUGGUGAUUCACUGGAAAAGGAAACAAAGGUUUUGCGGAAAGAGAUCAGGAUGCCUUGUGAGGUUCAGGCGACGAGUGGCUAAUCUGCCCUUGCCUUCUGUUCUGCUAGCUAACGUUCAAUUGCUGGAACAUUUAUGGGAGCACAUAUAUCCUACCAUCGGGACAUUAAAAACUGUAAUAUCUUAUGUUUCACCGAGUCAUGGCUGAACAUUGACAUUAAGAACAUACAGCUGACGGGUUAUACACUCUAUCGGCAGGACAGAACAGCAGCCUCUGGUAAGACACGGGGCGGGGGCCUAUGCAUAUUUGUAAACAAUAGCUGGUGCACGAUAUCUAAGGAAGUCUCAAGGUUUUGCUCGCCUGAGGUAGAGUAUCUGAUGAUAAGCUGUAGACCACACUAUAUACCUAGAGAGUUUUCAUCUGUAUUUUUCGUAGCUGUCUACAUACCACCACAGACCGAGGCUGGCACUAAAACUGCACUCAAUGAGCUGCAUUCCUCCAUAAGUAAACAGGAAAACACUCAUCCAGAUGUUGGGGACUCUAAUACAGGGAAACUGAAAUCAGUUUUACCUCAUUUCUAUCAGCAUGUUAAAUGUGAACCAGAAGGGAAAAAAUAUUGCCCACCUUCACUCAACACACAAUGACGCGUACAUAGCUCUCCCUUGCCCUCCAUUUGGCAAAUCUGACCAUAACUCUAUCGUCAUGAUUCCUGCUUACAAACAAAAAUUAAAGCAGGAAGCACCAGUGACUCGGUCUAUAAAAAAGUGGUCAGAUGAAGCAGAUGCUAAACUACAGGACUGUUUUGCUAGCACAGACUGGAAUAUGUUCCGGGAUUCGUCCG